rnacentral:lncRNA from 1 species
CUCUGCCUGUGAUUUCAGGUGCAAAAGGCAUUGUGCUUUUGCUCUACAAAGGCUUCUCUGAAGUUCCCAAUGACAUUUAGGCAGUGCUUGGAAUACUUGGAAAAACUGAGUACAAGAAACCUACGAAAUAAAGGCAUCUACUUUGCUACUACGGUGCUCCUUACUUUGAUUAAGAGGAGAAGAAUGGGAUCUCCUUGUUCAGUCAUUUUAGCAGGUUACCUUGUACCUUACAACCAAGUUGAGGUGUUGAGGUCACUGUUGUUUCCUGCAUACAGACCCUCACAAAAAGCUCUCUCAGGACUUGCUCUUGUGAGGGUUCAGAAUCAUUCAGUAAAUGCACUCAGUACAGAAGAAGACCAGUCCCAGUUUGAUCAGCAAACUCAAGAGCAAGAAACACACAAACAUGAGAACAUGCUCUGUGUCUUCUCAGUGGAGGUGCAUCCAAUUUGA